rnacentral:rRNA from 1 species
UACGAAGGGUGCAAGCGUUACUCGGAAUUACUGGGCGUAAAGCGUGAGUAGGUGGUUUCUUAAGUCUGCUGUGAAAGCCCCGGGCUCAACCUGGGAAUUGCAGUGGAUACUGGGAAGCUAGAGUGCGGUAGAGGGUAGUGGAAUUCCCGGUGUAGCGGUGAAAUGCGUAGAGAUCGGGAGGAACACCAGUGGCGAAGGCGGCUACCUGGACCAGCACUGACACUGAGUCACGAAAGCGUGGGGAG